rnacentral:rRNA from 1 species
CAUGCAAGUCGAACGGGGCUCAGAGAACAGAGGACUUGUCCAAAGUUUUCGAAAGCCUAGUGGCGGACGGGUGAGUAACACGUGAGCAACCUGCCUUGGACUGGGGAAUAACUGUGGGAAACCAUAGCUAAUACCGCAUAAAGUCACGAGAGGACAUCCUCCUGUGACCAAAGGAGCAAUCCGGUCUUAGAUGGGCUCGCGUCCGAUUAGAUAGUUGGUGAGGUAACGGCUCACCAAGUCUGCGAUCGGUAGCCGGACUGAGAGGUUGAACGGCCACAUUGGGACUGAGACACGGCCCAGACUCCUACGGGAGGCAGCAGUGGGGAAUAUUGGGCAAUGGGCGAAAGCCUGACCCAGCAAUGCCGCGUGAAGGACGAAGGUCUUCGGAUUGUAAACUUCUUUGAUCAGGGACGAAUAAAUGACGGUACCUGAAGAACAAGCCACGGCUAACUACGUGCCAGCAGCCGCGGUAAUACGUAGGUGGCGAGCGUUAUCCGGAUUUACUGGGUGUAAAGGGCGUGUA